UACGAAGGGGGCUAGCGUUGUUCGGAAUUACUGGGCGUAAAGGGCGCGUAGGCGGUGUGUCAAGUCAGGCGUGAAAGCCCCGGGCUCAACCUGGGAACCGCGCUUGAGACUGGCACGCUCGAGUUCGGGAGAGGAUGGUGGAAUUCCCAGUGUAGAGGUGAAAUUCGUAGAUAUUGGGAAGAACACCGAUGGCGAAGGCAGCCAUCUGGACCGACACUGACGCUGAGGCGCGGAAAGCGUGGGGGAGCAAACAGG
rnacentral:rRNA from 1 species